rnacentral:misc_RNA from 1 species
GAUGAAGAACGAAGCGAAAUGCGAUAAGUAAUGUGAAUUGCAGAAUUCAGUGAAUCAUCGAAUCUUUGAACGCACAUUGCGCCCGCCAGUAUUCUGGCGGGCAUGCCUGUCUGAGCGUCAUUUCAACCCUCAUGCCCCUAGGGCGUGGUGUUGGGGAUCGGCCAAAGCCCGCGAGGGACGGCCGGCCCCUAAAUCUAGUGGCGGACCCGUCGUGGCCUCCUCUGCGAAGUAGUGAUAUUCCGCAUCGGAGAGCGAUGAGCCCCUGCCGUUAAACCCCCAACUUUCCAAGGUUGACCUCAGAUCAGGUAGGAAUACCCGCUGAACUUAAGCAUAUCAAUAAGCGGAGGA